CCUACGGGCGGCAGCAGUGGGGAAUAUUGGACAAUGGGGGGAACCCUGAUCCAGCGACGCCGCGUGAGUGAAGAAGUAUUUCGGUAUGUAAAGCUCUAUCAGCAGGGAAGAAAAUGACGGUACUUGACUCAGAAGCCCCGGCUAACUACGUGACAGCAGCCGCGGUAAUACGUAGGGGGCAAGCGUUAUCCGGGUUUACUGGGUGUAAAGGGAGCGUAGACGGCAGCGCAAGUCUGGAGUGAAAUCCCAUGGCUUAACCAUGGAACUGCUUUGGAAACUGUGCAGCUAGAGUGCAGGAGAGGUAAGCGGAAUGCCUAGUGUAGCGGUGAAAUGCGUAGAUAUUAGGAGGAACACCAGUGGCGAAGGCGGCUUACUGGACUGUAACUGACGUUGAGGCUCGAAAGCGUGGGGAGCAAACAGGAUUAGAUACCCCGGUAGUC
rnacentral:rRNA from 1 species